rnacentral:antisense_RNA from 1 species
CACGGACAUCAGGGAUUCAUUCUGGGAACCUUGACCGACCGCCAGAUAAGAAUUCAUACCCAGCUCUUUCAUCUGCUCUUCGCCAAUCACCUUGGUAUUCAGGUUGUCGGCAGUGUCAGCAAGCUGGCGCGCCUGUGAUGCCAGAUAUGCGGCAUUACAGAUAUUCGGCGGCAUGUUUGCCAGAUCUUUCGA